AUAUAUAUAUAUAUAUAUAUAUAUUAUAUAUAUGCGUGUGUGUUAUGUUGUAUAAACGAUUUAAAUAUUUAUACACGAAAGAGGUAACCUUUGACAGGAUACCUUACAUGCUAGAAAGGGCAGUCAAAGCCCAGACCACGGAUAAAAGCAAUUUCAAAGCGAAUGAAAAUAAAAAAAAAUAUUUUU